CUGAAGGGGAAGUAACGUCACCAUGGCCGCCCACUUCGGGAGCCCACCAAGCCGAGAAUACAAGAAAUGAAGAUUCUGAAAAAGAAGCUGAUGACCAAGGGAUGAUAAGGGAUAGAAAGGUGACGUGUUUGCUUGAAGAGUGGCGGACCUGGAAGGACCCCCAUUUCCUGUCCCAUUCCCUGGCUGGGGGCACCCACACUGGCUGAAGAUAAACUGUUCCAUGCUCUCCUUCUGCUGGUUGGCGGUCUUCAGAUGCUCAGCUGUGCUCUGAAGGAGACUCUCCUGUUUGGAUAGUUUGGAUCUCA
rnacentral:lncRNA from 1 species